rnacentral:lncRNA from 1 species
AAAAGAUGUUGUACACAUCAUAGUAUAGAUCUUAUAGUGUGACAAGCAUCUACUAUCACAUAUUUGGAUCAUUUCCCAGAAAACGGAGGGUUGGAAUAAUAAAAUUUUUAUUUCUUUUGCAGAUGGAGCCCAAACAUCAGAUGUUUGUUUGUCUUUCAGAGUUCUUAAAAGAAUGUGAUGCUUCAAAAUGCUGAUGGGACAGGCCUGACUCCAGAUGGCCCUGGGAAAAUCUAUGGGGCCAAAAGGACAGAGUACUGCAAGCCACGCCCAGAGAAGUAGCAGGGGAGCCCAGAGGAAGGCUGUCUCCGGAUGUAUUUUCCAUAACUUAGCACUUGUGUUCUGCACCGCUUGGUCUGGGUCGAGAUUGUGCUCUGUGAGAGAGGUCUUCAGAGGCAUAAAGAAAGAGUUCACAGAGCAAAUCUGUCAGCCCUGUGCUUGUGGUCUCCAAGGAAAACUGAAACCACCCUUGAAGUGACCCGUGGCCGAGCCCUACGUGUGAGUCUCUGCAGGCUUUGUCAUAGGUUCAUCAAUUUCACAGAAAAUGAUUAUACUGGACAAGUGAGAAAGCUCACAGGAACUAGCGAACAGAGCAGAAAAACCAAAGUUAGAAGAACCAAAGGUCGACCCAUCAACAGACUUGAGGAAUGAGUGGGCAGAUCCGGCAGGCCAAUGGUGAGAGGCCCUGGACAGCUGGGCACUGGCCAAGAGUCAGAAUCAAUGAAAGGCACAGAGGCAGCUUCAGGCCAGAGCUGAGAGAAGCAGAAGGUGCAAAGGCACUUCGUGUUUAGACAGAAAGCAGAGCAGCCAAUGACUGAAGGAGCUAUUCUUCAUUUUCAAAGGUGAAGACUCACCAUACGUAUGUGGUGGUUGAAAACAAAUUACAGCACCAUGAAAUAUAUGUGCAUUAUGAAAGAUUCAGUAUCUUUGUGCUCAGAAUUGGAGCUGCAGUGUAAUCAUCAUUUCAGUAGAAGAAUUUCCUGCAAUAAUCCCCUGGCCCUGAGCUGCUGGCCCAC